GCUCUGGCUGGGUGGUCCACCAUUGGCUGGUACUGCUCUGGCUGGGGUUCUCCUUCUGGUGAGCCUUGAUGCCCUUUACUGGGUGCCUUGGGGAACCAGGACUUUUACUUUGAAAAAAUUAGAGUGUUCAAAGCAGGCUGUUUUCAGCUUGAAUAUCUUAGCAUGGAAUAAUAGAAUAGGACUUUGGUUCUAUUUUGUUGGUUUCUAGGACUAGAGUA
rnacentral:rRNA from 1 species